rnacentral:rRNA from 1 species
UACGUAGGGGGCAAGCGUUGUCCGGAAUUAUUGGGCGUAAAGAGCUCGUAGGCGGUCUGUUGCGUCCGCUGUGAAAACUCGGGGCUUAACCCCGAGCCUGCAGUGGAUACGGGCAGACUAGAGGUAGGUAGGGGAGAAUGGAAUUCCUGGUGUAGGCGGUGGAAUGCGCAGAUAUCAGGAGGAACACCAAUAGCGAAGGCAGCUCGCUGGGACGUUACUGACACUGAGGCGCGAAAGCGUGGGGAGCGAACAGG